rnacentral:tRNA from 1 species
GGGGUUGUAGCUCAGUGGUAGAGCACUUGCUUAGUAUGUAUGAGGGAAGCACUGGGAUUGAUCCUCAGCACCA